rnacentral:rRNA from 1 species
AGAUUGAACGCUGGCGGCAUGCCUUACACAUGCAAGUCGAACGGUAGAGUAGCAAUACUCGAGAGUGGCGAACGGGUGAGUAAUAUAUCGGAACGUGCCCAGUCGUGGGGGAUAACGUAGAGAAAUUUACGCUAAUACCGCAUACGAUCUACGGAUGAAAGCGGGGGAUUCGCAAGAACCUCGCGCGAUUGGAGCGGCUGAUAUCAGAUUAGGUUGUUGGUGAGGUAAAAGCUCACCAAGCCGACGAUCUGUAGCUGGUUUGAGAGAACGACCAGCCACACUGGGACUGAGACACGGCCCAGACUCCUACGGGAGGCAGCAGGUGGGAAUUUUGGACAAUGGGACGAAAGCCUGAUCCAGCAAUGCCGCGUGCGAGGAAGAA